AGAAAAUGGGAAGAAGAAAGAUUGCAUUGAUUUUGAUUCUGAUCUAUUCAUCUAUGCUGCCUUUUUCAUCUGCUUUCAAACAACUCUUCCUAACCGACAACAGUAAUCACCAAGAAAGUGAGCAUAUGGAAAAACAAUAUGGUAGAAGAUACAAUGUAGAGGGUCGACAUGGUUAUACAAACGGGAUCCCAACACAUAUAGCAAUUACCCGCGGAGGAGGAAGAGGCGGCGGCGGCGGCGGCAGAGGUAACGGUGCCGCAGGAAUUCACGAUCAAAACUGCAUGGAGUUGAUAGCAGCUGCAGUUUCCAUAUCAGUUGCAUACUUGUGUGGACUUAUUUGAUAUAUGAAGAACAAUAAUACAUAUCGAUCCAAAAACAAUAUAUUCAAUAUUAGGUGGUGUGGAAAUUAAUAAGUUGUUCGAUGUUUUUGAUAAAAAUAAUUAUCCCAAUAUUGGGAUGCUUUUGUUUGAUUUGAUUGAAUAUAUAUAUAUGUAAAAUUUGUGGUAAACUAUAGUGAUUAAGCUGGAGUUAUUUGGGGUUUUGUAAAAGUAUGAGUUUGGAUUAUUGCACACAUUCGGUCGAUUUUGAUAAACUCGCAUAAGUGUAUUAGCGUGACCGUAAAGCUAGCCUUAUAGAUUGAUUGAAUCCCCCUAAAAAUUGUGAUACUAAGAACGUCGUUAUAUUGUAUUUUGGUCAUGCGUUAAGUUGAA